rnacentral:ncRNA from 1 species
CUGUGAAGUUAUACGCAGCCCUUUCAAGUAAUUGAAAGCGGAAAAACGAGGUGAAAUCGGUGAAGCCUAGCAAUAGGUAAUACCGAGCCAAGCCCGCCUUAGGCGGGAAGGUGUAGAGACUAUCCUUUUUAGGAGUAGAUCAUUGUUUAAACGAUGAUCGAAGCGCCUCGCUUCCUUAUUAUGAGGAAGAUGAUAUAGUCCAUCCCUAUAAGUAAUCAUAGG